ensembl:snRNA U6 U6 spliceosomal RNA
GUGCUCGCUAUGGUGCCACAAAUACUAAAAUUGGAUCGAUACAGAGAAGAUUAGCAUGGCCCCUUCGAAAGGAUGACACACAAAUCCGUGGAGCGCUCCAUCUUUCU